rnacentral:sRNA from 1 species
UCAAAUGGGACUCCAUUCUGCAGAUGCUUAUCUUCAGAUCUCAGCCUGGACAUGAUUUGCAAUAGUGCAGACAAAGACUAUAUUUAAACAAUUUUAGAGUUAUGGAGGUUUGCCAAGACGUAUGGAGGUUGAAAAAGAAGAACUGAGUUCCCUGACGUGGGUUAUCCUUCUUUCUGAAAGAAAUUUCUAGGAAAAAAUGGAGAAAAGAACCUGGAAAGUCAGAAAGAGAAGCAUGAAUAUGCUGCUUCAAAUGUUCUAACCAAGUGCUGAU